AGUUAAAAUGAAUUCAUUAAAGUUAGUUUUCUUGCUGGCUGUUCUCUGUAUGCUUGCUGUAGCAACUAAAGCAGUGACAACAACUACGGUGCCACCUCCACCAACCACUACACCGUCCACCCGCCCACCAAGUACAACAACAACCACAACGACCGAAAUGCAAGGUUACCGAAGAAACACAGCAGGGCACCAGCAGUAUGGAGGGAGCUUUUACAACGAACACAACGAAAGGAGCACAGACGACGAAGUCGCAAGAAUGUUCGACCAGCUUCGAAUAGAUCUAAGCGAGUAAGAAUUUACGACAAAGUUGGCUGCGGUUUAAAAAGAAACGGAUCGUAAAAAAGAAAAACUUUUAAAUUGUGCUCGGAAUAAAAUACAGAAAUUCA